rnacentral:rRNA from 1 species
GAACGCUGGCGGCAGGCUUAACACAUGCAAGUCGAACGAUGAAGUCUAGCUUGCUAGACGGAUUAGUGGCGAACGGGUGAGUAAUGCUUAGGAAUCUGCCUAUUAGUGGGGGAUAACGUAGGGAAACUUACGCUAAUACCGCAUACGACCUACGGGUGAAAGGGGGCGUUUAGCUCUCGCUAAUAGAUGAGCCUAAGUCGGAUUAGCUAGUUGGUGGGGUAAAGGCCUACCAAGGCGACGAUCUGUAGCUGGUCUGAGAGGAUGAUCAGCCACACUGGGACUGAGACACGGCCCAGACUCCUACGGGAGGCAGCAGUGGGGAAUAUUGGACAAUGGGCGAAAGCCUGAUCCAGCCAUGCCGCGUGUGUGAAGAAGGCCUUUUGGUUGUAAAGCACUUUAAGUGGGGAGGAAAAGCUUGUGGUUAAUACCCAUAAGCCCUGACGUUACCCACAGAAUAAGCACCGGCUAACUCUGUGCCAGCAGCCGCGGUAAUACAGAGGGUGCAAGCGUUAAUCGGAAUUACUGGGCGUAAAGCGCGCGUAGGUGGUUAUUUAAGUCAGAUGUGGAAGCCCCGGGCUUAACCUGGGAACUGCAUCUGAUACUGGAUACCUAGAGUAGGUGAGAGGGGAGUAGAAUUCCAGGUGUAGCGGUGAAAUGCGUAGAGAUCUGGAGGAAUACCGAUGGCGAAGGCAGCUCCCUGGCAUCAUACUGACACUGAGGUGCGAAAGCGUGGGUAGCAAACAGGAUUAGAUACCCUGGUAGUCCACGCCGUAAACGAUGUCUACCAGUCGUUGGGUCUUUUAAAGAUUUAGUGACGCAGUUAACGCAAUAAGUAGACCGCCUGGGGAGUACGGCCGCAAGGGUUA